UCUCCUUCUCUUUUUCUCUCUUCCUCUUCCUUGCCCCCUCUCUUCGUUUCUUUUUCUCUUUCUCUGAAAGAGUAGGGACAGAGGGGGAAGAGGGGGAGAGGGAGAUGUCAGAGAGGCCAAGUUGAGAGAGAAAAGCCUGAUUUUGUUGGAUUCUCUCUUGUCUUUCUCUUU
rnacentral:ribozyme from 13 species